GUGCUUGUAGCUCAAAUUGGAUAGAGCGUUGUCCUCCGAAGACAAAGGUUUGUGGGUUCGAUUCCCUCCAAGCACA
rnacentral:tRNA from 1 species